AGAAAAAGAGAAUCUAUCCGACCCAAACAUCGGUCGCCGAUAAAAUAAGAUGUUAGUUUGAAGCAUCUUAACAGAAAAGUUAGCUAACAGUUUUAACAGAGAAGUUCCUGGAUUAACAAAGUUAGCUAACACUGUUAGCUAACAGUGUUUAUGUUCUCAACACGGAUCUUCACAUUACUAACAAACAUUAACUCUACAUAUUUACACGUUUUAAUCUAAUGUAACUGUCAGUUCACCCUGACUGAGCCGGUUAACGGUCCAGAGACAGUUUUUACCUGCUUUAUUGAACUGACAGACGUGUUUACAGACUCAGCAGGUUAAACGGAAAAACUGUAAAAAUUAAAAUGUACGAUCUGAAAUCUGUGCAAAAUAAACCUCUUUAAUUUUGAAUUAUUUAUUCCUCUUCUAUCACCUGGCUCUGUUCUCAGUGGUGUUUACACCUGUUCAGUUCACCUGCUCAGUGUUAAACUCACCUGUUUACUCAGCAGGGCCUGAGGGAGUCAGGGGGCCCUGGGGGGCCUCUGCUCUCAGCUGCAGCUCACUGCUAAUUACACUUAAGACUAAUGUGAAGAUGAUGAUAAUGAGGAUAACAAAACUGCUGAAAGACAUUUGAUACAAACCUCUGACAUAAUGAGACACACCAACACCUUAAUUAUCCUACAGGUGUGUUUCAGCUCCAAACAAAAUAUCAAUAAUUCAUAUUUCUGUUUGACGAUAAACUUUAACAGGGGAUCAUGUGAUCAUCUGAGUAACUCUGCUGUUUAUAUUGUGAAGGUUUUCAGAGAAAAACUAAAAGUGUUUUAAAUACAGAUCACUGAAAAUGAUGAAUGUUGUGAAGGUUUUGGUUUUAGUGUCUCUGUCAGUUUAUUCACAUGUGGUUGAAACUGAAUGUUUUCAUACCUGAACACUUGGAGAAGAGGGACUUCUUCAUCAGUAAUGCAUAGAAACAGGUGAUCCAAAUGAGGUUUUAAGUUUAUUUUGCAUUUUUCCUCCUAAAUCUGUGAACCUUGACGUUAAACAGGAGCUGUCGUCGUACAGAUUACAGAUUGUUUUUGACGUUGAGUCUGUUUGUUCUGCAGUUUUACCUCCAGGCUGUUUUAUUUGUGCUGAAGCAGGGCUGUUGUCCUGCCGCUCUCUGAGGACGUUACAUCAGAAACUCUGGCAGAGACAUCGUCACCUCUGUACCUGCUGACACCUCAUACUCCCAUCAGUCUGCACCAAACCUCCCCGCUCGCCGCCUUCUGUUUAACCCGACUAGAGUCCUCAGGUGGGUAAAAACCAUAGACUGUAUAUAGAAUAUAUAGAAUAAUAACAGUAUAUACAGUCUAUGGUAAAAAACAAACAGAAGGAUAAACAGGAGGAUGACGUCUCUCAGUACUUUCAGAAGUCCUUGUUGGAUCAUUGUGGGACUUCUGAUGAGGUCAGAAG